rnacentral:rRNA from 3 species
GGACCGAACCGACUAAUGUUGAAAAAUUAGCGGAUGACCUGUGGCUGGGGGUGAAAGGCCAAUCAAACCGGGAGAUAGCUGGUUCUCCCCGAAAGCUAUUUAGGUAGCGCCUCGUGAAUUCAUCUCCGGGGGUAGAGCACUGUUUCGGCUAGGGGGCCAUCCCGGCUUACCAACCCGAUGCAAACUGCGAAUACCGGAGAAUGUUAUCACGGGAGACACACGGCGGGUGCUAACGUCCGUCGUGAAGAGGGAAACAACCCAGACCGCCAGCUAAGGUCCCAAAGUCAUGGUUAAGUGGGAAACGAUGUGGGAAGGCCCAGACAGCCAGGAUGUUGGCUUAGAAGCAGCCAUCAUUUAAAGAAAGCGUAAUAGCUCACUGGUCGAGUCGGCCUGCGCGGAAGAUGUAACGGGGCUAAACCAUGCACCGAAGCUGCGGCAGCGACACUGUGUGUUGUUGGGUAGGGGAGCGUUCUGUAAGCCUGUGAAGGUGUGUCGUGAGGCAUGCUGGAGGUAUCAGAAGUGCGAAUGCUGACAUAAGUAACGAUAAAGCGGGUGAAAAGCCCGCUCGCCGGAAGACCAAGGGUUCCUGUCCAACGUUAAUCGGGGCAGGGUGAGUCGACCCCUAAGGCGAGGCCGAAAGGCGUAGUCGAUGGGAAACGGGUUAAUAUUCCCGUACUUGGUGUUACUGCGAAGGGGGGACGGAGAAGGCUAUGUUGGCCGGGCGACGGUUGUCCCGGUUUAAGCGUGUAGGUGUGUGUUCCAGGUAAAUCCGGUUCACUUUAACACUGAGGCGUGACGACGAGGCACUACGGUGCUGAAGCAACAAAUGCCCUGCUUCCAGGAAAA